UACGUAGGGGGCAAGCGUUGUCCGGAAUCAUUGGGCGUAAAGCGCGUGUAGGCGGUUCGGUAAGUCGGCUGUGAAAGUCCAGGGCUCAACCCUGGGAUGCCGGUCGAUACUGUCGGACUAGAGUUCGGAAGAGGCGAGUGGAAUUCCCGGUGUAGCGGUGAAAUGCGCAGAUAUCGGGAGGAACACCAAUGGCGAAGGCAGCUCGCUGGGACGUUACUGACGCUGAGACGCGAAAGCGUGGGGAGCAAACAGG
rnacentral:rRNA from 1 species